rnacentral:rRNA from 1 species
AUACGGAGGAUCCAAGCGUUAUCCGGAUUUAUUGGGUUUAAAGGGUGCGCAGGCGGAAGGUUAAGUCGGCGGUGAAAUUUUGCAGCUCAACUGUAAAAGUGCCAUCGAUACUGGUUUUCUUGAGUGUGGAUGAAGUAGGCGGAAUUUGUGGUGUAGCGGUGAAAUGCAUAGAUAUCACGAGGAACUCCGAUUGCGCAGGCAGCUUACUAGGCCAUAACUGACGCUCAGGCACGGAGGCGUGGGGAUCAAACAGGAUUAGAUACCCUGGUAGUCCACGCAGUAAACUAUGAUUACUCGCUGUGUGCGAUACACCGUAAGCGGCUUAGCGAAAGCGUUAAGUAAUCCACCUGGGGAGUACGUUCGCAAGAAUGAA